rnacentral:rRNA from 1 species
UACAGGGGGUGCAAACGUUGCUCGGAAUCAUUGGGCGUAAAGCGCACGUAGGCGGUCUGUUAUGUCGGAUGUGAAAGCCCUUGGCUCAACUGAGGAAGUGCAUCCGAAACUGGCAGGCUAGAGUACUAAAGAGGAUCGCGGAAUUCCCGGUGUAGAGGUGAAAUUCGUAGAUAUCUGGAGGAAUACCGGUGGCGAAGGCGGCAUCCUGGACCGAUAUUGACACUGAUGAGCGAAAGCCAGGGGAGCAAACGGG